UGGGUAACCUGCCCCGAUGACUGGGACAACUCGAGGAAACUCGGGCUAAUACCGGAUGUGAUGUACACACGCAAGUGUGUCCAUUAAAGGAAGCUUCGGCCUCCACAUCGGGAUGGGCCCGCGGCCCAUUAGCUUGUUGGUGAGGUAAUGGCCCACCAAGGCAACGAUGGGUAGCUGGUCUGAGAGGACGAUCAGCCACACUGGGACUGAGACACGGCCCAGACUCUACGGGAGG
rnacentral:rRNA from 1 species